rnacentral:lncRNA from 1 species
AGAAAGUAAUAUUUGUUUCACUAAUGUCAUGUUGAGAACUAGAUAAAAAUAACCAAAAAUACUAGCAGCAUUUCCCAUUACAUCACUGCAUAGCAGAGAAAGAAAUCCGCCUAUGGCUAACUUGACAUACUCCUGCAAAACAUAUAUAUAUAUAUAUAUAUACACACACACACACACUGCUCAAAUUCAAAGCAGUUAAAUAAAACAGAUAGAUAGCUGCAAAUUCUACAAACCCCUAAUACCAGGAACAUCAAUCCACUGCAACUGGAGCUCUACUUCACCACACUCCACAUUUCGCAAUCGAAGAAUAAUAUUUUGAAUCACUUUCCCCUCAACCCAGAUAAUCUGGCUUUCAUCAGCAAGGCAAUUUUGUCUGUUCGGUUGAAUUCUAGUUAUUAUGGUUCCGCUUGGAAGGUCUUCGAGUCGCAUCUUCACAGCUUCAAGAAAUGGACGGAUAUCAAACUCUGCAUCUCCCAUUUUGUCAUCUCUGCUGAAUGUGUCUUUGUCGUAAACAACCUGUAUUUUCAAAUAAAGAAGCAAUGGAAUUCAGGCAGCAAGCAAAUAUAACUAUAACAUAAUAAACCUAUUCUGUAGUAAACCAAAAAUAACGGAUAAGCUUUAACUCAAUUGUACUAGUGUCACAAACACCCUGCAUUUUCAAAAAGAGGCACUUUCAUUUUAAUUAUAUAUGAAUUCAGUUCAGGGAACAGCAAAUUUCACAGUUAAUCGUUCACCAAGAGAUUUUCCCGCAUAACUAAAACAAAACAAAUUUUGUUCUUUGCGUGCAGUUACAAGGUUGUGUCUCAUUUCUCAAGUUAGCCUAGGCUGUAAACAGUUGAUCUCAACAGAGAUCGAGCUCAGCUUGUUAGAGGUUUACUCAAGCUUGAACUCAGGACAUUUACUAUUUGAAGUUUUAAAAAAAAUUGUAGCUCAUUUACAAGCUCAAACUCGAAUUCAAGCUCGGCUCUUUAAACUGUUUUUCCUGAGCUGAGCCUCUAGCAACUGAUGGGAGCUUGGCUCAUUUACAGUCCUAGUUAGCAAUAGACAGUUAAAUUAAUUGAAUUUGAGAAGCCGAAAGGGUUAAAUUUGACUCUAAUUAAAAAUAAAAGGCUUAGUUCACUUUCAGCUGAAAUUUUAGGGGCUAAUUAGAGCUUUUGGCCAAAAUUCCUUCAUGAUUAUUCUAUUUAUAGCAAGCUAAACUGAAGAUUUAAUAAUGUAUAUAUGUACAUAAAAAUUCAUUUCUUCUUUGCCAAGAUUUUCUAUUCUUGUUUUUAACACUUUGAUUGGUAGAAUCUAUCCAUCUAGGUCAAGAUUAGCAAAAGAUUGAGGAUAUGAAUUACUUACGAGCUAAACACACAAACAAAUCUAUCAAAACUAAGACAUGAUCAAAUGAAUUGUAAUACUUACAAUCUUGAUUGGAAGAUUUGGAUUCUCAAUUGAGAGAGUCAAAUCCUCAUUCCACUCAGGAUUGACAUUUUGCUUCACCACUCGAGUCUUCAAUUUCUGCAAAAACAAUAUAUAUAUAUAUAUAUAUAUCAAUCAAUAAACUAAUACUUGUUAAGCAAUUAGUGGUGGAAAUGUUAGCUAAAGGAAAAGUACACAUAAAAAAUAUGGAAAAACACCUUAAUUUGAUUUGACUUGACAAAUAAAUAAAUAACUUUUAUGAGACUGAUAAUAAUUGAAAAACGGACCGACAAUUUAAUACAACUUUUAGCAGCAAUCAAAUUUAUUCUCUCAAUUAAUUUAUUUUCUAAUAUGAAUUUCACUCUCCUAGUCUCAGAUUUUAGUUUCUUUUUUUCUUUUUGGGUCACUCUGUGAAUAGUUUUUCAUUAUCUUAAUUGAAAGUAAAGAAAUGAAUAAUCUUUGAAAAGUAUUUUUCUUUUUCUAAUAAAAGGGAGGAAAUUAACCGAAUAAACACUUAAACAUGAACAGUUCUUGGCAAAAGAGUCCCAACCAGGAAAUUAUAUUUAAACACAAAUUAUUUUACUAUUAGAAAGUAAUAUUUGUUUCACUAAUGUCAUGUUGAGAACUAGAUAAAAAUAACCAAAAAUACUAGCAGCAUUUCCCAUUACAUCACUGCAUAGCAGAGAAAGAAAUCCGCCUAUGGCUAACUUGACAUACUCCUGCAAAACAUAUAUAUAUAUAUAUAUAUACACACACACACACACUGCUCAAAUUCAAAGCAGUUAAAUAAAACAGAUAGAUAGCUGCAAAUUCUACAAACCCCUAAUACCAGGAACAUCAAUCCACUGCAACUGGAGCUCUACUUCACCACACUCCACAUUUCGCAAUCGAAGAAUAAUAUUUUGAAUCACUUUCCCCUCAACCCAGAUAAUCUGGCUUUCAUCAGCAAGGCAAUUUUGUCUGUUCGGUUGAAUUCUAGUUAUUAUGGUUCCGCUUGG